rnacentral:rRNA from 2 species
AUGGCUCAGGACGAACGCUGGCGGCGUGCUUAACACAUGCAAGUCGAACGAUGAACCCGGAGCUUGCUCUGGGGGAUUAGUGGCGAACGGGUGAGUAACACGUGAGUAACCUGCCCUGGACUCUGGGAUAAGCGUUGGAAACGACGUCUAAUACCGGAUAGGACCUCGAACCGCAUGGUUUGGGGUGGAAAGUUUUUUCGGUCUGGGAUGGACUCGCGGCCUAUCAGCUUGUUGGUGAGGUAAUGGCUCACCAAGGCGUCGACGGGUAGCCGGCCUGAGAGGGUGACCGGCCACACUGGGACUGAGACACGGCCCAGACUCCUACGGGAGGCAGCAGUGGGGAAUAUUGCACAAUGGGCGCAAGCCUGAUGCAGCAACGCCGCGUGCGGGAUGACGGCCUUCGGGUUGUAAACCGCUUUUAGUAGGGAAGAAGGGCUUCGGCUUGACGGUACCUGCAGAAAAAGGACCGGCUAACUACGUGCCAGCAGCCGCGGUAAUACGUAGGGUCCGAGCGUUGUCCGGAAUUAUUGGGCGUAAAGAGCUCGUAGGCGGUUUGUCGCGUCUGCUGUGAAAUCUGGAGGCUCAACCUCCAGCCUGCAGUGGGUACGGGCAGACUAGAGUGCGGUAGGGGAGAAUGGAAUUCCUGGUGUAGCGGUGGAAUGCGCAGAUAUCAGGAGGAACACCGAUGGCGAAGGCAGUUCUCUGGGCCGUAACUGACGCUGAGGAGCGAAAGCGUGGGGAGCGAACAGGAUUAGAUACCCUGGUAGUCCACGCCGUAAACGUUGGGCGCUAGAUGUGGGGACCUUUCCACGGUUUCCGUGUCGUAGCUAACGCAUUAAGCGCCC